rnacentral:miRNA from 1 species
UUUUAGUAGCCACUUAGUCACAAACACUGGCCAAAGUUAGCGUUCAUAAUUGUUUUUUGCAUUUUAAUACACAAACUAUUAUAAAUGCUAACCUUGGCCGGUGUUUGUGACUAAGUGGCUACUAAAAAAU